rnacentral:lncRNA from 1 species
UAGCAGAAGCAUUCUACUUUCCAGUAAAUAGCAAAAAGAUUACAUUUUCACAAUUUUGUAAAACUGCUAUAUUUUGGGGCCAGAAAGGGGUCUUACUGAACCUACUCCUUUGUUAUGUUUUCUGAAUGUUUGUUGUGUUAUAGACAAAGUUAAAUCACAGUUUGUUUUGUUACACGAGUGAUGAAUGGUUUUGAAGGCAUCGAAUUGAAGUGGAAUCUUUAACAUUUAUACAUUUGACUGGAUCUGUUUGAUGAAAACAUGUGAAAAGAAAUCAUGGUAUGCUUGUUAAUUUUGCUGCGUUUUGUAUUUUUUUUUUUUUUUAAUGUAUUCUUUCUUUCUUUUAAGUAAGCCAUAAACCUAUGUAGGUUAAUAAAGGAAUAUAAUACAGAAGCAGGGAUAGAUGAUAAUGCAUUCAAAUUUAAUUCUUAUUAAAUUGUAUGAUUACUCAAAACUUUUAUUUACAUCCAACCUUCAAUUUUGAAAAUAGAGUGAAAAAAAUCAGAAAAUAUGAAAUUAUUUAAAACAUGAACAAAUCAAAUUGUAGAAUUUGAAAAGUACUGGGAGCACAUUUUUCUUUGCAUAUUUUAGAGUUUCUGUAUCAGUGUUGACUUUGUGUAAUACUUUCAAGAACAAAAAUCUAUAUAAGAUCUCUUCUGUAUGCCCUUGUCAUGGUUGAUAAAAUGUACAAGAGUUUUUGAUAAAUGAAUUGAGUGGUUGACAAAAUGUAUUGCCAUGUGUAUUUGCUUUUUUUGUAUGAAUAGUAAGAAUGUGGAAUGAAUCUGUAAUCAAUUACAUAAAGUAGUAUGAAUUGUUAGUUGCAAUAUUUUGUUAUGAUGUAAAACUUGUUUAAGAAAUAAAUGAAAAUUUAUAAUAUAA